GCGGUAAUUCCAGCUCCAAUAGCGUAUAUUUAAGUUGUUGCAGUUAAAAAGCUCGUAGUUGGAUUUCGGGUGGGUUCUAGCGGUCCGCCUAUGGUGAGUACUGCUAUGGCCCUCCUUUCUGCCGGGGACGGGCUCCUGGGCUUCACUGCUCGGGACUCGGAGUCGGCGUUGUUACUUUGAGUAAAUUAGAGUGUUCAAAGCAGGCACACGCCCUGAAUACUUUAGCAUGGAAUAACACGAUAGGACUCUGGCCUAUCUUGUUGGUCUGUAGGACCGGAGUAAUGAUUAAGAGGGACAGUCGGGGGCAUUCGUAUUUCAUUGUCAGAGGUGAAAUUCUCGGAUU
rnacentral:rRNA from 1 species